rnacentral:rRNA from 1 species
GACGAACGCUGGCGGCGUGCCUAAUACAUGCAAGUUGAGCGCUGAAGGUUGGUACUUGUUCCAACUGGAUGAGCAGCGAACGGGUGAGUAACGCGUGGGGAAUCUGCCUUUGAGCGGGGGACAACAUUUGGAAACGAAUGCUAAUACCGCAUAAAAACUUUAAACACAAGUUUUAAGUUUGAAAGAUGCAAUUGCAUCACUCAAAGAUGAUCCCGCGUUGUAUUAGCUAGUUGGUGAGGUAAAGGCUCACCAAGGCGAUGAGACAUAGCCGACCUGAGAGGGUGAGCGGCCACACGGGAACUGAGACACGGUCAAGACUCCUACGGGAGGCAGCAGUAGGGAAUCUUCAGCAAUGGGCGAAAGCCUGACGGAGCAAGGCGGCGUGAGUGAUGAAGGUCUUCGGAUCGUAAAACUCUGUGAUUAGGGAAGAAAAUAUGUGUAAGUAACUGUGCACAUCGUGACGGUACCUAAGCAGAAAGCCACGGCUAACUACGUG